ensembl:lncRNA
CUUUAAACACAGAGCUCAAGACUGACCCACGUGGCUCCCAGCUGUCCAAUGGCUGCAGUUAGUAGAAAGAGCAGUGCUGGACAGAGAGCUUAGCCCUGCAAGACCUCUCCCGUGAUCACAUCUAGGGAGUGUAAGCUGGAUUUGUUGGGGAAAAGAGCAGGCACCCCUACCACAGCCUCCUGGACUGGAGAGGCCCAACCUGCCCAACCUCAGCUCAACCUGGAGUGCCGGCCACACUGGACACGUCCAGUCCUGUUGCAUAACUUCUUGCCCCUCCCCCAUAGAAACCCAAAUCCAGACCCAAUGGAGAAAAUAAAGGGAAAGGAGAUCAACUAUUCCAAAGGCCAGAUCAGCUCAAUGCAAUGAAGGAAGGAGGAGGAUGCAGGCUACACCAGAAUCCUGGGUUCUCAGCUGGACCAC